rnacentral:rRNA from 1 species
UGGGGAAUUUUGGACAAUGGGCGAAAGCCUGAUCCAGCCAUGCCGCGUGCGGGAAGAAGGCCUUCGGGUUGUAAACCGCUUUUGUCAGGGAAGAAACGCUCCGGGAUAAUACCCUGGGGUAAUGACGGUACCUGAAGAAUAAGCACCGGCUAACUACGUGCCAGCAGCCGCGGUAAUACGUAGGGUGCAAGCGUUAAUCGGAAUUACUGGGCGUAAAGCGUGCGCAGGCGGUCUUGCAAGACAGAUGUGAAAUCCCCGGGCUUAACCUGGGAACUGCAUUUGUGACUGCAAGGCUGGAGUACGGCAGAGGGGGAUGGAAUUCCGCGUGUAGCAGUGAAAUGCGUAGAUAUGCGGAGGAACACCGAUGGCGAAGGCAAUCCCCUGGGCCUGUACUGACGCUCAUGCACGAAAGCGUGGGGAGCAAACAGG